GCAGAUGUAUAAGCAUAAAAGAAAAGAAUAACUUUUAAAUAGUUUUGCAGUGUACCAGCCUCUUGUCCCUUUGAAAUACUUUAUGAAGAAAGUGAAAAUCCUUUUAGCGCGAUAAAGUUUGCUAUAACCUUCCUAAAGGUGAAUGCAUUUUCUCUGUGUUGUGGUAUCUUAACGGAUGUUUUCUGUGGUUUAAAAUCAAUAUUUUUCUUUCCCCGCAGGCGUUGAGCUACGGUCUCACAGGGACAGAGUUAUUUACGGGGUUUCAGAAAGAAGCAGAAGAAAACAUGAGAAAAAGAGAUCUUGGAGAGAAUCUGGAGAUGGGAACUCAAGUACGGAGUCCGAUAAUGAAGAUAUAAUGUACGCAGUUCAUUCAUCGGAUGACAGGAUACUGAGAGAUGAAGCGAGAGAAUCUGAAACGGAGUGUGACAGAUUAUGGAAAACUUAUGAAAGUUGCCAAUAUGAAGACACAAAAAGAUGGACAGCUGAGCAUCCGGUUUUGAGCUAGAACUCAAGUGAAAAGUAUUCGUGCCAAUGGAAUUCUUUGCUUUAUUACAUAAAGAAGUGGAUGUUUAUACCGUGUUUAUUUCCAACUUCUGAGUCAAAUUUUCAGGAGUACUUGUCAUUCACAGAGAAUAUAUUCAGAAUGAAAAGAUUUAUAGAGAUGUAAUGUAACAGAUAUGCUGAUUUGGUAAAAAUGAUAUUUUAAAGAGAAAUUUUGUGAUGAAAAAUUUCUAGAUUGUUCAUAUGUGAUAUGUAAAUGAGUUUAUUGGAGUACAUUUCAGCAUCAUUUAUGUACAGAAAAUUUUAAGAA